AACGAACGCUGGCGGCAGGCUUAACACAUGCAAGUCGAACGCCCCGCAAGGGGAGUGGCAGACGGGUGAGUAACACGUGGGAACAUGCCCAAAGGUACGGAAUAUUCUCGGGAAACUGGGAGCAAUACCGUAUGUGCCCGAAAGGGGAAAGAUUUAUCGCCUUUGGAUUGGCCCGCGUUGGAUUAGCUAGUUGGUGGGGUAAAAGCCUACCAAGGCGACGAUCCAUAGCUGGUCUGAGAGGACGACCAGCCACACUGGGACUGAGACACGGCCCAGACUCCUACGGGAGGCAGCAGUGGGGAAUCUUGGACAAUGGGCGCAAGCCUGAUCCAGCCAUGCCGCGUGGAUGAUGAAGGCCCUAGGGUUGUAAAAUCCUUUCGUUGGGACGAUAAUGACGGUACCCAAAGAAGAAGCUCCGGCUAACUUCGU
rnacentral:rRNA from 1 species